rnacentral:rRNA from 1 species
UGGGGGAUAUUGGACAAUGGGCGCAAGCCUGAUCCAGCCAUGCCGCGUGAGUGAUGAAGGCCCUAGGGUUGUAAAGCUCUUUCACCGGUGAAGAUAAUGACGGUAACCGGAGAAGAAGCCCCGGCUAACUUCGUGCCAGCAGCCGCGGUAAUACGAAGGGGGCUAGCGUUGUUCGGAUUUACUGGGCGUAAAGCGCACGUAGGCGGACUUUUAAGUCAGGGGUGAAAUCCCGGGGCUCAACCCCGGAACUGCCUUUGAUACUGGAAGUCUUGAGUAUGGUAGAGGUGAGUGGAAUUCCGAGUGUAGAGGUGAAAUUCGUAGAUAUUCGGAGGAACACCAGUGGCGAAGGCGGCUCACUGGACCAUUACUGACGCUGAGGUGCGAAAGCGUGGGGAGCAAACAGG